rnacentral:rRNA from 1 species
GACAGAGGCCACGAACGUUGUUCGGAAUUACUGGGCAUAAAGCGCACGUAGGCGGCUAGGUCCGUCCGAUGUGAAAGCCCCCGGCUCAACCGGGGAAUUGCAUCGGAUACAGCCUGGCUCGAGGACGGUUGGGGUGAGUGGAACUCCUGGUGGAGCGGUGAAAUGCGUAGAUAUCAGGAGGAACGCCGGAGGCGAAAGCGAGUGACUGGCGCGUUCCUGACGCUGAGGUGCGAAAGCUAGGGGAGCAAACAGG